rnacentral:rRNA from 1 species
UUUAUCGGAGAGUUUGAUCCUGGCUCAGGACGAACGCUGGCGGCGUGCCUAAUACAUGCAAGUCGAGCGGACAGAUGGGAGCUUGCUCCCUGAUGUUAGCGGCGGACGGGUGAGUAACACGUGGGUAACCUGCCUGUAAGACUGGGAUAACUCCGGGAAACCGGGGCUAAUACCGGAUGCUUGUUUGGACCGCAUGGUUCAAACAUAAAAGGUGGCUUCGGCUACCACUUACAGAUGGACCCGCGGCGCAUUAGCUAGUUGGUGAGGUAACGGCUCACCAAGGCAACGAUGCGUAGCCGACCUGAGAGGGUGAUCGGCCACACUGGGACUGAGACACGGCCCAGACUCCUACGGGAGGCAGCAGUAGGGAAUCUUCCGCAAUGGACGAAAGUCUGACGGAGCAACGCCGCGUGAGUGAUGAAGGUUUUCGGAUCGUAAAGCUCUGUUGUUAGGGAAGAACAAGUACCGUU